UAAGCGGAAACGGUUGAACGCUGACUGUCAGCGUCACGUGUGUAAAGUUAGUGACUGUUAGUGAAAUGAGACUUCUUUUUGUCGCUUUCUAACUCUAUUAAGUCGGAAAGUAAGUCUCUAAAGGAGCCGUUUUCUGUCUAUCCUGUCACUUAACCACUUAAUUAGCUUAGUUAGCCGUUAAUUAGCAAAUUUAGCCUCUAAUUACCUAGCUUCGGUAGCUAGCUGUAUGCUUUGGAAACACUUUAAAUAAAUGAGUAUGAUGAUGCCACAGAGCUGCAGUUAAAGUGUCAGAGGAGAGAAUCUGCUGCUGGGAGCUCUCUUCCCUAGCUGCUGAUCUUGGUCAGCAUCUUGUUGAUGGCCUGUUUGACGUGGGUGGUGGAGCUGCGACGUCUGGCUUUUCCCUGCACAGCUUUGCGGCGUCGCACCUCUCGGCAGAGCUCGUGGAAAGCCUCAGCCA